UUACUUGAAGUAAAUACUUGAUUUUGUCUUUAAAAUCAGCACACGUGGCUCAGAAYACAUAGAAGAGAAGACCAGAACGGGGCUGAUGCCAUGGCUUGAGUGACUUCAUCGAAUAUGGUUGCUUUUUCUAGAAGAAAGGAAUGCUACAAGCUGAAUUUUAUGGAAUUUGCUGGGUAUUAUUUGAGAAAGAGUUUGCUUGCUCCCCAGUGUUCCCAGAAUUUCAGAAGUCUUGUAGUGAGUAAUUGGCAUGCAGUAUAUCUAAAUCUGAUCUUCAGGAUAAUCAACUGUCGGGAAGAGUCUGCUGCUACUACAGUUUGCCAUAGAAGUCAGUCAUGAAGGGAAG
rnacentral:lncRNA from 1 species